rnacentral:lncRNA from 1 species
AUGUCCGUGAAAGGAGGGAAUGGCUGGAUCAAAGGGAGAUGAAGCUAAUCCGGAUGCUGGGAUUGGAGCUUAUCUGGACUCUGUUUCGAAGCAGGGGAGGGCUGUGAAUUCAUCCGUGGAUAGAGUUGAACUCGAUCUUAUCCCAAAAUGGAUGCGCACGGCUGAGAGGAGAUGCUCGGGAUGCUAUUCCAGCUGGAACGAGAUGAGGAUGGAUCACAGGAUACUCGGACACGGGAGGAGAUCUGGGAUGCGGAAGAUGAUGGCAUACAGUCCGAUGACACGGAGCAAGGGAGAGACGUUGGGAUACACGCAGGAAGGAUGCGUGAACUGAUUCGCGGAUGCAUGGAAUGGCGAGGACGAUCCGUGAAGCUCAGAGGAUCUCGGCUGGGAAGUUUGCUGGAGGAUUAUACGUGGACAACUGCGAAUGGGAGGGAGUUUGGGACUUAUCCGUGGAUGGUGAAGUU